GCCUGGCUGGCUCAGUUGGUAGAGCACAUGACUCUUGAUCUUGGGGUUGUGAGUUCAAGCUCCAUGUUGGGUG
rnacentral:tRNA from 1 species